rnacentral:lncRNA from 1 species
UGCCUCUGCUCCCUAUUCUGACUAAAGCUUCCCAUCACUAUUUCCUUGAAGGUCCUACCUCUAUUUGUUUUUCCACCUCGAAUGAGACAGGAAUGCCAGAACAAGCUGGAGUGACAGAAAAAUCUCCUCCCCAAAGCUGGGAUAAGAAGGCUCUGGUGAAGUCUAUUCUGGAAGGAAGGUGUUUGUUAUGCAGAAGGCUCCAGCAUAUUUCACAGUGACUAUUCUGCCUCUUCUCUGCCAGGCUCACAGAAAUAAGUUGCACUGGACUAAUAAUUCUUAAAACUGAGUUCUUAAGAUAAUGAAUGGAUGAGACUAUAUAUAAGGACCAUAGCUGAAUAAAUGGAGAAACAAUAAGGCAGUAAGUUGCCUGUGGAGGAAAGCAAACUAAGUCAUUGGACUAUAGUCUUCUAGGAAGAAACAAAAUGAUUCAACGGAAAUCAAAUGAUGACAAGGGUGAAGAUGACAACCAUAUAGAUGAAAAGAGGAUAGUAUUACAUGGAGAAGGAUGCCUCUUUAAGUGCUAGAAGUCCAAGGAAGAUCAGGAUUACAUUGCAGUGUUCGGGUGAAAAUGAAAGUGGAGUAUCCCCUCUUUCUGGAUAAUGCUCACAAACUGUUUCACA